rnacentral:rRNA from 1 species
UACGUAGGGUGCAAGCGUUAAUCGGAAUUACUGGGCGUAAAGCGUGCGCAGGCGGCUUUGCAAGACAGAUGUGAAAUCCCCGGGCUUAACCUGGGAACUGCAUUUGUGACUGCAUGGCUAGAGUGCGGCAGAGGGGGAUGGAAUUCCGCGUGUAGCAGUGAAAUGCGUAGAUAUGCGGAGGAACACCGAUGGCGAAGGCAAUCCCCUGGGCCUGCACUGACGCUCAUGCACGAAAGCGCGGGGAGCAAACAGG